UGGCUCCUCGGGACGCAGCCUGGCCUGAACUUCCGAGGGUCCCCUUGAUUUCCUCAUACUGUUAGAGAGGAGCUAGUUUUUAAAGAUUUUUGGUGGAUAAACUAUAUUGUAAUGAGGUCGGGGAAGGCAAAGAUCGCGUCAAUCUUUUUUUUUUUUUUUUUCUGUAUUUUCUCUGUGUCUCGCAGACAGCCUAGUUAGUAUUCAGUAACUUUCAUGGAAUUGAAAUAAGGCGCUAAAUAGCAGGUAGAUAUAAAAUGUAAACGAGUGAUGGAGGAGUAACUCCUUGAUUGUAUAUCGUUCAUAGUGUAUUAUCUCAGAUCUCAAGCCAGCUCCAUGAGAGUUGGGGAUGGCGAUUUUUACAAGAGUAGCAGCCUCAGGAUGCCAUCUUGCUGGAGUUCAGUGGUGUGAUCUUGACUCACUGCAACCUCCACUUCCCAGGCUCAAGCGAUGCUCCCAUCUCAGCCUCCCAAGUACCUGGGACUACAGGUACAUGCCACCACAACUGGCUAAUUUUUUGUAUUUUUGGCAGAGACAGAGGUUCGCCAUAUUGCACAGGCUGGUCUGGAACUCCGGAGCUCAGGCAAUCCAUCUGCCUUGGCCUCUUAAAGUGCUGGGAGUGCACCACCGCAUCCAGCUAAUUUUUAUGUAGAGAAGGCAUCUUGCCAUGUUGCCCAGGCUGGCCUUGAACUCCUGACUUCAAGCGACUCUCCCACCUCAGCCUCCCAAAGUGCUGACAUUAUGUGAGCCACCGCACCUGGCCCGUGCCCAAUUUCUUAUAUACUAUUUAUAAUACAACCAGAUUGUAAUUUCCUUGACGGUCAGGGCCACUUUUUCCACUCAUUUAUUCAAUAAGUAUUAUUUGAGUGUCUGCUUUGUGCCGGGCAUUGAUUAAGUGAAUAGGAUAAACUCAGACUCUGCCUUCAGAGAGAGGUUGAUAUAUAUCUUUGAAUUCCUUGAAGACCCUUGUACCAUAGAAUAUACUAAAGAUGUACUCAGUGAACAUUGAUUAUUGUUAAGAAGUAUUUUUGUGUGCUUCUUAUAUGCCAGUGCUAAGCAAUGUGUGUGUACGUAUUAAACUUCAGAGUAAACCUAUGAGGCAAGAUCUGUUAUCAACAGAUGAAUAGGUGACAGAUUACAUUAUUGCUUCAAGCACUGGUUUUUGCCACUGCAGAACUACCUGAAGAACUUGUUUAAAAUGCUGUUUCCAAUGCCCCAACCUAGACCCACUGACCUAGAAUCUCCUUGAGUAGGCCAGGAUAGGGCAUUGGAUAUAGCUGGGUUAGGGAACCACUGUCUUUGAAAUGGGCCCAUUCGGACAGACUAGAUGAGAAAGCCCUUUUUCCAGAACAUCACUGAUGUCUGAUGCUGCAAAUGUUAGCCAGGUGUCCUCCUGUCCAAGUAUCUAUUUAGAACCUAAACUGUCUUUAACUUGAGUUUUAGCUGUGUUCUGUCCUUUCUAUUUCUUUUUUUAAAAAUUAAUUAUGUAGUUCACUCUUUGAUACUUUCUAUUUCUUAAAGUAAUUUUUGGCUAAUGGGUACAGGAUGUUUGUUAUAUUAUUUUCUGUACUUCCUCAUGUGCUUAUAUUUUCUAAUUAAACUUUUUGAAAAUUAAAAUAAAAAUACAUCAACCAAAGGAAUAUAUCAGCUUCUGCUAUGAGAGGUUUUCAAGUAGCUUCAAGGACUACUUGGAGGAGUAAAAUUGAGUCUUUUUCUUAAGUGACUCUUGUGUUCUAAAAUAGGAGAACUUCUCUAGUUUUUCUUUCCUCUCAUUUGGAGGAGUAUAGAAGCUUUGGGCUAAAGAGCCAAACUGCAAAGAAAAUCCAGAUUAAAAGAAGGAAUUAUUCAUUGUUGUCCACCGUCUCUGUCUUUUCCCAGUUGAGGAUGAUAAGUCUUUCCAAGAAACAAAUGUACUUUUUUUGCUUCCUUCCCACGCUAGAUACCUGCUUUGGGGUUGGAGUCUAAAUUGCUUAGGAUCACAUGCAAUGUUCUUCGUAAAUUAGCCCCAUUGGGCUUCCUGUCCUAUUUUCUCCACAUUCUUCCAUGUACUUGAGGUGAUGCUUUCCCCAGCACUGCAUACUUUCCAUGUGUCUGUGCCACUGUUACCUUAGUCCACAAGACUCAUUCCCUCCUUCACUGCUUGGCACAGUCUUUCUCAUCCUUCAAGGCCAAGUGUAAAUUUUGCCUCCCCAGAGGCCUUUCUGAACCCUCCUCUCAGCAAUCAGUUGCUCCCUCUAACACACCACCCACUCUAACACUUUGCACAAACAUAUUUUAUCAUAUAUUAUAGUUAGUUGUAAACAGACCAGUAGAUCUCAACUGGAGGCUACUCUAGGCUAACAUUAUGAGGUGAUGAGGUUGUGACGGUGCCACUGGCAUUUAGGGGGUAGAGGUCAGGGAUGCUGCCAAACAUCCUCUAAUGCACAGGACAGGCCCCCAGCCCAGAGAAUUAUCCUGUGCCAGAUGUCAAUAGUGUAGAGGGAAGCUGGGCACAGUGGCUCACACCUGUAAUCCCAGCACUUUGGAAGUCUGACACAGGAGGAUCACUGGAGUAUAGAAGUUUAAGACCAGCCUGGGUAACGGAGACACUGUCCUUACCAAAAAAAAAAUUAACUGAGCCUGGUGACUCACACCUGUAGUCCUAGCUACUCAGGAAGGUAAGGCAGGAGGAUCACUUGAGCCUGGGAGUUCAAGGCUGCAGUGAGCUAUGAUCACACCACUGCACUCCAGCCUGAGCAUCGGAGUAAGACAGAUUUUAGGCAUAUUCUAGAGGCAGAAUGGACAGAACUUAACUAGUGCAUUAGAUUUGAGGGAAAGGAAAGAGAAUGAAGGGUGACUCCCAGGGUUUGCCUUGAGCACCUGGGUGGGUAGUGGUGCCAUUUACUGAGACGAGCCUGAGGAGUACAGGUUUGGGAAGAAAAUCAAAGCUCUGUUUGAGAGUUUUUAUAUUCUGGACACCUAUUAAACCUCAAAGUGGAAUGUUAGGUAGGUACUUACCUGAGCCAGAAACUUAGGAGGAAGGCCAAGGUUGGAGAUAUAAAUUGGGAAUCUUCAGUACAUAGUUGAUAUUUAAAGCUAUAGGAAUGGAUGUGAUCAUUAAGGCAGGAAAUGUAGAUAUAAAAUUGAAUGCGGGAGUUCUGGGAUUCUUUUUCUCUGUUCAAACUUUUUUUUUUUAUUUAAAGAGAUGAAGCCUUACUCUGUUGCCCAGGCUUGAGUGCACUGGUAUGAUCUCAGCUCACUGCAACCUCCACCUCCCAGGUUCAAGCAAUUGUCCCACCUCAGCUUCCCAAGUAGCUGGGACUACAGGUGUGUGCCACCACGCCCAGCUAAUUUUUUAAGUAGAGAUGGGUUUUCACUAUCUGUUGGACAGGCUGGUCUCAAACUCCUGGACCUCAGGUGAUCCACCCACCUCAGUCUCUAAAAGUGUGGGGAUUACAGGUGUGAGCUACCCAGCCUUGUUCAAAUUUAAAUCUUCUAUACCCCUGGUAUCAUACAGGCUAAUAGACUAUUAGUAUUAAAAAGCAAUCUAGGCCGGGCGCAGUGACUCAGGCCUGUAAUCCCAGCACUUUGGGAGGCCGAGGCAGGUGGAUCACGAGGUCAAGAGAUCGAGACCAUCCUGGUCAACAUGGUGAAACCCCGUCUCUACUAAAAAUACAAAAAAUUAGCUGGGCAUGGUGAUGCAUGCCCGUAAUCUCAGCUACUCAGGAGGCUGAGGCAGGAGAAUUGCCUGAACCCAGGAGGUGGGUGUUGCGGUGAGCCGAGAUCGCGCCAUUGCGCUCCAGCCUGGGUAACAAGUGAAACUUCGUCUCAAAAAAAAAAAAAGAAAGAAAAAGCAAUCUAAGGUUAUCUAUCUGUCUAGUCACCAUUCCCAUAUUUACUCAAACCCUCGGCACUACAUCUAGCCAAAUAGCUAGCCAGUUGGUGCUUCUUUGACAGGAAACAUGCCAUUUCCAUUAAGACCUUCUAUUCUGUGUUAAUCAGAAAGAGCCCAUGUCUCCGUGGACUCUUACCAUACCCCUGGAGCAAACUAAAGUUCAGAGAGGUGACUUGGUCAAGCUCAUGAACCAUUAAAAGGUAGAGCAAGCUGGGCACUGUGGCUCAGGCCUGUAAUCCCUGCACUUUGGGAGGCCAAGGCAGGCAGAUCAUGAGGUCAGGAGUUCAAGACCAGUCUGGCCAACACAAGGGCGUGGUGGUGUGUGCUUGUAAUCCAAGCUACUUGGAAGGCAGAGGUAGGAGAAUCAUAUGAAUCCGGGAGGUGGAGGUUGCAGCACCACUGCACUCCAGCCCGGGUGACAGUUUGAGACUCCGUCUGAAAAGAAAAAAAAGGUGGAGUGGAAACUUGAAUGCAGGUCUUCUGUUCCAAUUCCAUGGUUCUUUCCAUUAGUACACACUAAUCUAGUGAUUUUUACUAUUAAAGAUUUUAGGCCUAAAUUACAUUUUCUCCUGCAAUUUAAAUUCAGUGGCCUAUUUUGUCCCCUGGUGUGUGAAAAGCAAUCAUUACUUCCAUCAUUAAAUAGCAAAUUUUAAGGCACUGGAAAAAUAUACACUUGAAGGCUAGUUGCAUCAGCAUUUUUUUUUCCUUCUUCCAAGUUAGGGGUAUUGAUUUAAAUUGGUAAGUGAAGUUGAUAAGUGAGAGGAUACCUCGAUAGCAUUUACACUUCUAUAUUGUGAUGACUGCUGAAUUAGGGGACUUUCUAAAGAGAUGUGACUGGAAGGAGUCCUUGGGAUCAAUUCUUACAAUUUAGGAACCCUGAUUCAGUCAAAUGCCAAAACCUAUUUGACUUAGCUCAGAGUUGGUAUAGUAAUGGAGCUUUCCAAUGUAUAGGUGGAUCAGGAAAGAUGCACUUGGUGCUGUAGCUGUUUAUACUGACCUCAAAUUCAACAAGGAUUCAUUGAGCACUGAUUAUGGUCAGGGCCCCAUUUCAACUGCUCUGGAUACAGAGCAUUGAGAUCAGAUUUUGAGGGCUUUUUGGCCUUCCUAAAAGCCCAGCAGGGGUUCACAUGAGUAGUAACACACACCUGGCACUUAAGUUCUUCUUUGACUGUGUUACAAUUAAGGAUUCAAACUUCAAGGAUACAUUGUUAACUUCGAGAAAGUUGAAAUUCCUUAGAGUUUAGCAGUCAAGGUGCUCCACAUGUUCCUAAUCUACCUUUUCAAUCAUCAUUCCCACUGUUGCCAGGAGUAAACCCUCUGCUCUAGUUAAAUUAGAUGCUCACUACCUCCUGAGCAUCUAAUUUAAGUAAAGUAUCACCUCGAUACCUUACUCUUUAGCUCUCUGCUGUUCUUUAUAGUAGCCACUAGUCACAUAUGGCUAUUGAGUACUUAAGUGUGGCCAGUCUAAACUGAGAUGUGCUGUUAGAUACACCUAGAUUUCAAAAAUGUAGUUAAAAAAAAUAUAAUAAUCUUUUAAUAUUGAUUACAUAUUAAAACAUUAAUAUUCUGGACAUAGAUGAAAUAAAGUACAUUAAAACUUU